rnacentral:rRNA from 1 species
UGGGGAAUAUUGGACAAUGGGCGCAAGCCUGAUCCAGCCAUGCCGCGUGAGUGACGAAGGCCUUCGGGUUGUAAAACUCUUUUGGCGGGGAAGAUAAUGACGGUACCCGCAGAAUAAGCUCCGGCUAACUUCGUGCCAGCAGCCGCGGUAAUACGAAGGGAGCUAGCGUUGUUCGGAAUCACUGGGCGUAAAGCGCACGUAGGCGGAUUUGUCAGUCAGGGGUGAAAUCCCGGGGCUCAACCUCGGAAC